rnacentral:lncRNA from 1 species
AUAGCAAUCCGGAGCAGCGCUUCCCCGACUCUCCCUCUUCCCAACCUUCUUUCCCGGACUCCCAAUCCCCUGAGGCCCAUCAUAGGGUCCCCUUAGAACUUUCCGUCCCCCCUCCUGCCGAGUACCCUAAGAUUUCAACCAAUUAGCCGGGUCGGGGACUGCAUGUUGGCUGUCUUGCCUAAGGAAGUGCCUUGGCAGAAAAGGAGGAAGAAGGGCUCUGGAGGGAAUAGGGAAGGGAGUUGUUCUGAGAGCCCCUCCCUUCAACUUAGUAGGCAAAACAACCAAUUUUUUCAAGGACAGAACUGAGGGGAUGGCAUCCACAUCUGCCAGGAGUGGGGACAAAAAGGACAUCAGGUCAUCUCAAGCUGCCGCCUCCUUAGGUGGAGGGCAGAAAGUCUCAUUAUCCUGCUCUGAAGAAUUCCUGACCCGAAUCAGCACAGAACUUACAGACGAAGCACUGUUUAUUGCUCGCUCCCGUUUGAGUCCUCUGCCCAAUAAGGAAAAGAACACAAAAGACCAAGGGACUCAGAUAUCUAGACAUGUGUUCUUCACUAAGACCCGAGGCACUGACACCCGGUGAGUGAGGCUCUGUCCUUCUCCCAGGACAGAGGAGCCUGUGGGGAGAGAGCAAGGGUUGACAGCAUCCCAGCAGGCUCUGACAAAAAUCGAACCCGAACCAAGGCACACCUUCUGCCAUCUCCUCGUGAAAAGGGACCACUCCCCAACAGCCUGACAACUGGAGGAUGAGCUCGGCCCUCCCUAGUACUGCUCUCUCAGCUUCUUGCCUUCCCCCACUAUGUCCCUCAGUGAAAACCUCAAAGCCCCUCUUUUGCAACUAGCUAAGCCUCUCAUCUUGGGAGGAACUCCUGGUCAUAAGCAAUGCCACCUUUGAAACCAAGAAAAUCUUCUGGAACUGUCGCGGGGCCCUCCACCCUUCGUGGGCAAAUGCUACUGAGAAGAAAAGGUUUUAAUAAAGAACCAGGAUCCUCCCUUC